rnacentral:rRNA from 1 species
CGUGUAGGCGGCCAAGCAGGUCCGUUGUGAAAACUGGAGGCUUAACCUCCAGACGUCGACGGAAACCGCGCGGCUAGAGUCCGGAAGAGGAGAGUGGAAUUCCUGGUGUAGCGGUGAAAUGCGCAGAUAUCAGGAAGAACACCAAUGGCGGAGGCAGCUCUCUGGGACGGUACUGACGCUGAGACGCGAAAGCGUGGGGAGCGAACA